CGCCGCCCCGCACGUGCCGUCCGUCAAGUCCGACCCCGGCAAGGCGAAGAACAAGCUCAGACCUCCGUCGCCCACGGAGUCUGUGAAGCAGAUAGCUGAUGGGGGUCAGGUGCAGUACAGGCCACACACGGCCGAGAGACCCAGGUCACUGGUGAAAGCCAGGAAGCAGUACAAGUCGGAAUACCUGGAGAAGUUUGUGCCACCGUGGAGCUACGAGUACGACCAUGGAGAGUGGAAGAAGGUGAAACAGGUGAGAGGAGAGUGGAAGAAAGUGAAACAGGUGAGAGGAGAGUGGAAGAAAGUGAAA